rnacentral:pre_miRNA from 1 species
CAAGUACUCCCUCCGUCCGGAAUUACUUAUCAUCAAAAUGGAUGUGUCUAGAACUAAAAUACAUCUAGAUACAUCCAUUUCAAUGACAAGUAUUUCCGGAUGGAGGGAGUACAAG